rnacentral:rRNA from 1 species
UACGUAGGUGGCAAGCGUUGUCCGGAUUUACUGGGCGUAAAGAGCGCGCAGGCGGUCGUUCAAGUCGCGUGUGAAAGCCCCCGGCUCAACUGGGGAGGGUCACGCGAUACUGAUCGACUGGAAGGCAGGAGAGGGUAGUGGAAUUCCCGGUGUAGUGGUGAAAUGCGUAGAUAUCGGGAGGAACACCAAUGGCGAAGGCAGCUCGCUGGGACGAGUACUGACGGCUGAGACGCGAAAGCGUGGGGAGCAACAGGG